CACAUGCAAAGACUGAGCCAUCCU
rnacentral:piRNA from 1 species